CUAAGCCAUGCGAGUCAUUGUAGCAAUACAAGGCAGACGGCUCAGUAACGCGUAGUCAAUCUACCCUAUGGACGGGAAUAACCUCGGGAAACUGAGAAUAAUGCCCGAUAGAACAUUAUGCCUGGAAUGGUUUAUGUUUCAAAUGAUUUAUCGCCAUAGGAUGGGACUGCGGCCUAUCAGUUUGUUGGUGAGGUAAUGGCCCACCAAGACUAUUACAGGUACGGGCUCUGAGAGGAGUAGCCCGGAGAUGGGUACUGAGACACGGACCCAGGCCCUAUGGGGCGCAGCAGGCGAGAAAACUUUGCAAUGUGCGAAAGCACGACAAGGUUAAUCCGAGUGGUUUCUGCUAAAGAAACCUUUUGUCAGUCCUAGAAACACUGACGAAUAAGGGGUGGGCAAGUUCUGGUGUCAGCCGCCGCGGUAAAACCAGCACCUCAAGUGGUCAGGAUGAUUAUUGGGCCUAAAGCAUCCGUAGCUCGUUUUGUAAGUUUUCGGUUAAAUCCAUGCGCUUAACGUAUGGGCUGCCGGGAAUACUGCAUAACUAGGAAGUGGGAGAGGUAGACGGUACUCGGUAGGAAGGGGUAAAAUCCUUUGAUCUAUUGAUGACCACCUGUGGCGAAGGCGGUCUACCAGAACACGUUCGACGGUGAGGGAUGAAAGCUGGGGGAGCAAACCGGAUUAGAUACCCGGGUAGUCCCAGCUGUAAACUAUGCAAACUCAGUGAUGCAUUGGCUUGUGGCCAAUGCAGUGCUGCAGGGAAGCCGUUAAGUUUGCCGCCUGGGAAGUACGUACGCAAGUAUGAAACUUAAAGGAAUUGGCGGGGGAGCACCACAAGGGGUGAAGCCUGCGGUUCAAUUGGAGUCAACGCCAGAAAUCUUACCCGGAGAGACAGCAGAAUGAAGGUCAAGCUGAAGACUUUACCAGACAAGCUGAGAGGUGGUGCAUGGCCA
rnacentral:rRNA from 1 species